GGGUGGAUAGCUCAACUGGGAGAGCGCCUGACUGUUAAUCAGGAUGUUGCAGGUUCGAAUCCUGCUCCGCCCGCCA
rnacentral:tRNA from 1 species